rnacentral:rRNA from 1 species
AGCGAACGCUGGCGGCAGGCCUAACACAUGCAAGUCGAGCGGCCCUUCGGGGCAGCGGCGGACGGGUGAGUAACGCGUGGGAACGUGCCCUUUGGUACGGAACAACCGAGGGAAACUUCAGCUAAUACCGUAUGUGCCCUACGGGGGAAAGAUUUAUCGCCAUUGGAGCGGCCCGCGUUAGAUUAGCUAGUUGGUAGGGUAAUGGCCUACCAAGGCGACGAUCUAUAGCUGGUCUGAGAGGAUGAUCAGCCACACUGGGACUGAGACACGGCCCAGACUCCUACGGGAGGCAGCAGUGGGGAAUCUUGCGCAAUGGGCGAAAGCCUGACGCAGCCAUGCCGCGUGAACGAUGAAGGUCUUAGGAUUGUAAAAUUCUUUCACCGGGGACGAUAAUGACGGUACCCGGAGAAGAAGCCCCGGCUAACUUCGUGCCAGCCGCCGCGGUAACAC